AUCCUUAAGAUUAUAUUUAAGGUGCUCCYUGCCCGGUGGUAGAUUAACGGCCGCAGAAUUUUUACUGUGCUAAGGUAGCGUAAUCAUUUGUCUUAUAAUUGAAGUCUUGUAUGAAUGGGAAAACAGGGUGAAGCUUUCUUUUCUCUAAAAGAGUGAACUUGCUGACUUGGUGAAAAUACCAAGAUCUACGAAUAAAGACGAUAAGACCCUAAGAGUUAUACACCUUAUUGGGUAGACACAUUUUUGGUGGUUUGUUGGGGCGACGCUUAGGCAAAACAGAACCCUAAGGGCUAUAAGAUAAAGGCCGGCUGCUGGCAAGAACUAUUAACUACCUUAGGGAUAACAGCAUAAUUUAUAUUAAGCUUAUGACCUCGAUGUUGGACUAGAAAGCAAGUCGGUCAGCCACUGACUUGAUAGGGCUCUGUUCGAGCACAAGUUUCU
rnacentral:rRNA from 1 species